GACGAACGCUGGCGGCGUGCUUAACACAUGCAAGUCGAACGAAGAGCGAUGGAAGCUUGCUUCUAUCAAUCUUAGUGGCGAACGGGUGAGUAACGCGUAAUCAACCUGCCCUUCAGAGGGGGACAACAGUUGGAAACGACUGCUAAUGCCGCAUACGAUCUGACCUCGGCAUCGAGGAUAGAUGAAAGGUGGCCUCUAUUUAUAAGCUAUCACUGAAGGAGGGGAUUGCGUCUGAUUAGCUAGUUGGAGGGGUAACGGCCCACCAAGGCGAUGAUCAGUAGCCGGUCUGAGAGGAUGAACGGCCACAUUGGGACUGAGACACGGCCCAGACUCCUACGGGAGGCAGCAGUGGGGAAUCUUCCGCAAUGGACGAAAGUCUGACGGAGCAACGCCGCGUGAGUGAUGACGGCCUUCGGGUUGUAAAGCUCUGUUAAUCGGGUCGAAAGGCCUUCUUGCGAAUAGUUAGAAGGAUUGACGGUACCGGAAUAGAAAGCCACGGCUAACUACGUG
rnacentral:rRNA from 1 species